rnacentral:lncRNA from 1 species
GUUGCAGGUAUCCACCGCAUCCUAUAGUUAGUAGGUUAUUUUUAGAAUAAUGUUUCAAAUUAUUGUUUAGAUUGGGUAGAUUUUUUAUAAAGUGAGUAGCCCCCGAGAAAGCCAAAACAUAGAUACAUUUAUUGAUUAUAUUGUUACAUUUUUUAUAUGCUGUCAUGUAGUUUUUAGCAAUUAUAUAAUGGAAGUAGUAUAGCUUGUUUUUUAGUAGUCUAGAUAAUAAAUAUAUAUACCACUAUGCUAUAUUAUGAUGUUUGUUGUUUUGUCGUCUUAGAUAAUGCGAAGUUUAAAAGGGAUCGGAACUACUAUAGACAAUAGCUUUUACUGAUUGUCAUUUAGAGAACACGUGUGCUUAUACAGUCAUAUAGAUUUAACAUUUGGGUUGUCGUAAUUUGUCUUUGGUUAGUCGUUUUUUCAAGUCACUUAUACUAGAAAAGUAUGAUUGUAUAAAUCGGCGUUUUUAUUUUAUACUUAGUCAACUUAGCAAUAUUACGUUUAUAUGAUAACAUAAUGUAUUCGAAUACUUGUUGAAAAUUUGCAUGGAAUGGUACUGUACUGCUACUUUUUUAAACGUUUGAUAACAUUUACUACUUAC